CUGAAGAACAUAAAAAUGACGGAUGGUUGUGAAUGUGUGAAUGUGUCCCUUUCCUCGCCCCCUGUUGGCGGGGGAUUGACCGCGGCUCGGUGCGAUCAGCACUAAGGAACAAUGAACUCUGAAGCAAAGGGUCCCUUGGGGUGCACAAGGAGCCCAAUGCGUCGGAGAUUCCUCGGAAUCAAAUGACUCUCGGCAAUGGAUAUCUCGGCUCUUGCGUCUAUGAAAAAAGUAUUGAAAUGCGAUACUUGGUGUGAAUUGCAGAAUCUCGUGAACCAUUGAGUCUUUGAACGCAAGUUGUGCCCCAGGCCUUGUGGUCGAGGGCACGCCUGCUUGGGCGUCAUGGCAUCUUCGCCUUUGCACCAUGCAUGCAUGUGUUGCUGGUGCCGAGUGCGGAAAUUGGCCCCCUGUGCCCUCUGGCACACUCGGUCGAAAAGUGGGAAGUCUGCAAUCUUCGGGCACAACAGAUGUUGGUCGCCGUGAGCGGGAACACAACGUCUUCCUCUUCGUUUUGAGAUAAGUCCUCAAGAGACCCUGUGUGAUUGCGGCGUCUGACAAAAGUGCCCUGUCCAUCAACUAACUU
rnacentral:rRNA from 1 species